rnacentral:lncRNA from 1 species
AGAAUUAGCAAGUCGAUCUUAGGUGGUUUGAUUGGUUCGUUGAAGAUGGAUUCAAGUCCCAGCGGAAUUGCAGCUAUGCCCUUUUCCGAAAUGCCUGACUUUGUUGAGCAGCUACUUUGCUUCCCCUUUUAGAUAGGCUUUCUGCUUUCAGCCGUUCUUUCUUUCUCUGCGGCCUGCGUGGGACUGAUCCGGACUGAUAACCCGAACCCUUCGUAGAUUGAACUCUCUUCUCUUUAGGCUCGCGUAGGUUAGGGAACUCGCCUCCUUCACUGCUUCCACUCCAACUCGAACUAAAAACCUCUUUCUUAUCUUGACUCAUGGCGUCUUCAUCAGUGAGUAAAUCCUCAUCAUCAUCCUCCGUAAGAUAAAAGAACCUAACUCCUGGGCCUGUGUAGACUCUUGGUGAGGCUGUUCCAAGUGUGUAGGCCCCAUAUCUUGCUCAUCUCCCCCUGUUAGGGGUCUUACAGUAGCAAUGGACGUAGAAGGAAUUCUUUGCAUGGCUUUUAACGUUUGGGUUCAAUAACAUUCACCUUAGUGGGACCCCCCAGCACCAUCUUUCCUUAGUAAAUACUAGAUGGAUUCCCUAUUGCUAUGCUAGCUUCCUUGGGAAUACUACCUUGCACUGGUUUAGGCGGUAUCCGGGCCCUUUUAGAGGCAACAGUUGACUUCCCCUUCUUUAUUGUGGUCCCAAGAGGCGUAAUAACCUAAAAGUUGUCCAGUCCUAAACAAGACAGGAAAACCUUUAGGCUUCUUCAGAAAAGGAACAUCAAACGUUUACUUGGAAAACACGUUAUACACGUAUGAUCCAAGUAAACGUCCAAACAUCCUUUCUAGCAUACCCGUCCGAAGAGUCAAAGGCCAUCUAUCAGUGGCCGACUUUAAAUCAAUCAUACGAGUAUGCUAUCUCACUACCCGUCAAUCUGAGUUCUCGAAAGCGACUGAACCAGCCACCCAGAUGAGACUCCCGCUGAAAAACAUUCUUUUUCCGACAAAACCUGCCACCAAGCUUUGACAAGUCGCUAACUUGCUCAUUUUGUGAUAGGGCCCAGUCACCUCCCUUCUUCCCAACCUCUGGCAGUCAAAGCUAUAGGGAGACGUGCUUCGGUCUUUCCAUCGAUAGAAGCAGUAGGUAUAUAACGCAUGCAGCUAGUAGGCGAUAGGAGGAUGUAAGCCCUGGUGGCAGUGGUACUUUGGCGAAUCAGGCGUCGCUUCUAUUUCCUUUUUUAUUAUUAUUUUUGACCCUACAAUGGCAGAACCUAGAAAGCUGCUCUUUUUUCCCUGUCCCGUGGUUUGAUACCGUCUAGCCUCUAGCUAGGAAGUCUUGGAUUCGUAUACCAUGUAGGUGAGAAAAUCGUCCGUGACUAGCUAUCCUUAUUCUCCUCCCAGGGAUGUUUAGGAAUAUGGGUGUGGGAGGCUGAGGGACGACCACGAUGAGUACGCAUUUUUAUAUAGGAUCAAACAGCUUUUGUUCGAUCGAGGAGCAGAGAUAGAUAUGAGCUAACAACUUAUGUUUUUUGGUAUUUUGUUUUGGGUGAUAUGUACACCGAAAGAAAUUGACGCUACAAACACUUUUCGCCGGUAGUCCUCGAUCGAAAGUUAGCUCGACUCAAGUCGACAAGCGAGAGACAAGGUUGGGUGAGGGUACAAGGCAUCAUGUGGGAUCUACGAUUGACUGUGCCCGUUGUUGGCUUUGCAGAUACUUUCAAAUACUGACGCAGUAUAUUCCAUUCAUUGUAUAUAUCCCUUUUUCGUGUCAUUGACAUCAGAGAUUGCAUUCAAUCGAAUGGUUUGACAUAAGAAAUGUUCUAGUCUAUCUGUAGUAGUUCUGUUUGUUUAUAGUAGAGUAGUACAUGAGGGUGGCGACUCACAAGGGGAGUGUAGACCAGAGCAAUAGGGAGCCAAGCCAGCUACUGUGGUUGUGCCAUUUGGUGGGCCAAAGUAGUCUAGCGGCGGUGAAAAGAUGAUAGUAGACCAGACGGGGGCACCACCAGAACACCCGUACAAUGAUCUAUUUUCUUUUGAAGCUAUAGUACAUAUGCACUUUAUACGUCUGUCUUACUAAUAAUAUUCCUUAGCGUACAUCUGUACUAUAACCCUCCCCUCUGGGAGGUGUUUUCAAGGGAAGGCGGACUCCGCAGCUGUGGACCAGGCACUAUCACUAUACUAGGCGAUGUUUUUAACCAAAAAAAUAAAAAUGAAACAUCUUAGUGUUGUUCCUAGGUUGGGGGUUGGGAGCAAGCCUUCAAGACACGACUUCAAGCUGUUAGUACAACUAGCAGGCUUCCUAGCUCGAGUGAAUGCCGCAACGCAAUAAGGCGAGAGUUUAGUUGCGCAAUAAGGGCUGGGCCUUGUAAUGAAGGAAGAAUUGGAUGUGGAAGGUAGAAUUGAGCCAAUGUGUGGAACAGCAUUCCCAGUAUGACUUGCCUAGCUAGUGCUUCCUAGCUGACUAUACUAAAUAAAUUUCCGUUGUCCAUCCCCAAUCUUGCGUAUGCCAUUCACACAUUUUUCUACAUCCACGCGCGGGGUUGGAAUUGGAAAAGUAAUUGAAUCGAAGAAUCAAAUUCACUCUGACAUCUGUCGAAGCCAGCCUGUGGUAAGAGUUGGGCAGAGGUAGCCCUCAAUCACUUACUAACUUACUCGGUAAAUUAGCUAGCAAGAGGCCAAUCCUCAGGAAUUUGAUUUCCAAGAUAAACCAUUCGAAUGCUACUAAACGACAAGAAUAGUCUAUUUGAAUAGGGCACAUGCAUCACACAUAAGGAAGACACCAAAAGACAACCAAUGAAUUUGUCCGUUUCGGCCUACUUUGGCCUUUAUAUGAUAAAGUACAUCAAGAAGCAACUAAUUGUAAUAGAAGGGUCUAGGUUAGAAUUUGCAGGUAGUUAGCCGCUUUCUCUGUAGGAAAAGACCUUAGGCUGUACAACAACUCCGCUAUUCUCCCUUUCAAGUAGGGGUUCAACAGAGCUUUAUUUAAAAAACAUUAACUACCACUUCGACUGAUGCGGACGCGGUUCUCUCAUCGUGAAAGAAGUAAUGAAAUGAAAGCCCGGGGUCAAAGCGCGUUCGUUGUUACCUGUAUAGCUUUCUAGAGCAGAGAUCUAGCAACGCAUUCUAGGCACAGAUCAUUGGUAUUGGAUGUAUUGUUAGGUUGUGCCGAGUCAAAUCAGCUCUCUUUUUUUCCCAUUGCAGAAAAGAGAUCCCUUCCCCUCGCUUUCCAAAAUGAUGAAUAUGAAGUCCGGGAGGCUGCAGGUACUAUGGAUCCUCUGACACCCAAUCAGGUUGCUUUUCCAGGUGUCGUCGGUGUUGCCUGUAGGUCGUGAUGUGCCUUGAGAUGCCCGUCUCCUGUCCCCCUUCCAGUGGGGAACCCGCUCCUCAGUCGUUGCUCUGCUGCAUCUGGCCCAUCCUCUAGGCACCUUUGGAAGGUAGGGAGUGUGACAACGUACACGCUUUCCUUUACUCCAUAGGGCCUUCUCAUCAGUUGCAGGGUUUGGUGGCCCGAAAUUGACUUGGCUUCGCCAAAAAGCCUCAUCUCUAAAAGUCCAGCUCGCGAGGCGUCCCUCUCGUAGUAGGGUUCUAACCCUCACCUCGCUCUUGUGACAUGCUAUGUUUCCCCUCUCUAUUCCCAAGUAAAGGGUGAGUCCCAUGUGUCAGUUUGUGGAUUGCGGUCUCACACACUAAUCCCUACAAGUGCCCAUAGUAGGCCAGCCGCCCUACCUAAACCAAUCAUCAUAUCGGUCCCUUGGCCCCAUUGCUGGAAAGGCUCGGCUUCAAAACCGUACGUGGAGCUUUCGCCUCAUACGGCUUCUCUAGGGAUAGAGGUAGGCCCAGCGCAGGCUUGUGCGGUUAAGGUUGUUGUACACGACCUCAUAAGAAAAGAAUGAAAAAAAUGAUGUUUCCUUUCCAACGAGUCAAGUGGUUGAAUGCUCCUGCAUUAAUAUUGAAAACGAAAACUUGUCGUCAAAAUAAAAAAAAAGGCAAUCAAUCAGAAAAAAGAAAAAAUAUGGAAAUAGUGAAUCAAGAUCUAGAUGGAUCCCUAUCUUUAUCUCUAUCCACGGAGAUACCUAUCUAUAUCGAGAGAGAUCUAUCUAUGAAUCGGCCUAGACUAUCCUCUAUCCGGAUAGAUAUGUCCCUAUGAGCGACUACGCCGAUAUUUAUAUGUUUUGGCCACGUCCCUUUCUGCUCCGAAGAAGAAGGUUUGGAUCUUUCAAUCUUAUGUCGUGAGGUAUGUGACCUAUGUUAGGUCCAUAAGAUACCACAGCUUUUGGUGUUCUAUGAUUCACCUCCGAAUAAUGAGUAGGUAGUUCGAUCCUUUUUAUUUUGAUCUUUUUAGUAAACUGAUGGGGGGAUGCGGAGCAAUAGGUCGAAUUAAUUUAUAAAGAAGAGUUGUAAACUAUAGGACUUCUUGUUCGAGUAGGAAUAUUUCGGUUUUUCUCGUUCCUUCUCUUCGAUAAGAAUAGGGAUUUGAAAUGAUACAAAUUCCUCUUCAUUCUGUUGUGCUCAGCGAAAGAACUGCCUAAGCAUACUUUUUCGGAUCCAAACUUCUUUGUUCUUUCUAAGUCUUCUUCUUGCAUAGAAGAACGCAACUGUUGCAAAAACCGGGAUUUUAGUAGUAGGCGGCAUCCCCUCUUAGUUUUGAGUAGGCGGAACCAUUCUGUUUUGGUUCUUCUCCACGGGUGAUCCAGGAAUUUGCCUAUUAUUUUCUCAACUGAGAUUUCGAUAUAGAAGGAUCUCUUUAUUUCUUCACCGCGGGUUCUCGCAUCAUUUUCUUGAAAAGAUAUUAUAUCACCGUGGGAGAGUUUAAAAUGAGUAAUGUUAACCAUUCCAUUAUUCACACAAACCCUUCGAUGACUUAUCGGCUGCCUUGCUUGAGGAAUAGUUUCACAAAAAUGGAGACGAACCGGGAUAACGUCCGAUCUUGUUUCUGGAUUGAGUAGAAAAGGGAUAUAUGAAGUUCGUUCUCUUCCUCUGUGCAUCUCUGUGAUGGGUAAAUCUCCAUAAAAAAGGGACAACUUUCGUGUAGUUUGUGAUUGGAUGUAACUGUUAAGAUUUUCUCUAGAAUAAAUCUUUCUCUUAAUAGAUCUCUUCUUGUUCCUCAAUCUUCGGAGAAUACGGCGUUGUAUUAUUGUAAGUUCUCUGUUCCAAACAUUUCCUGAAAGUAGACGACAAGUUUUAAAUCUUAAUGCAGGCAUCGCUCUUUCCUUUGUCCUUCCCCCCUAUUUUUGCCCUAUCAUUAGUUGUUACUCCCGAUCCAAAGCACCCCUUUUCCAUUUAUAGAGAGAUCCACACCACAAUAUUAGUCUUUUUGUGUUAAUGUUCUCAAUGGUGAAUCGAUCAUUCGAUAUCCUUUUCCUUCUACGACGGAAUGGAAGAAAAGUAAUGAAACCUGUGAUGGCUACUGAAUAACCUCCUUUUACUUUCUCAAUAAUAAAGCCUUUGACCUUUGUAUUCGUUCACCAAAUCUUGUUCAGUUCCAUCCAAGCUCAGUUU